UUUUGUUGGAUUUUUGUGACGAUCACUUUACUAUAUAGACAAAUAUUGAGAUAAGUGAUAAUAUCUUUUAUGGAAGACAUAAAUGCGGUGGAAUAGUUUUAUAGAUUUAUUUAGUUGUUUCACAUACGAGUUUAUUUCUUUUUAAAAAAUCAUGCAGUAUCUUUAAUUAUAUAUUUUGUCUUAUCAAUUUUAGAACAUUUUAUUUAAUAAUUUUAUAAAUGUUAUCCUUGAGAACUUGUUGAAAAUGCUUGUUAUAUGUAUUAGAAAAUUA
rnacentral:lncRNA from 1 species